rnacentral:rRNA from 1 species
AUUGAACGCCGGCGGCAGGCCUAACACAUGCAAGUCGAGCGGUAGCACAGAGAGCUUGCUCUCGGGUGACGAGCGGCGGACGGGUGAGUAAUGUCUGGGAAACUGCCUGAUGGAGGGGGAUAACUACUGGAAACGGUAGCUAAUACCGCAUAACGUCGCAAGACCAAAGUGGGGGACCUUCGGGCCUCAUGCCAUCAGAUGUGCCCAGAUGGGAUUAGCUAGUAGGUGGGGUAAUGGCUCACCUAGGCGACGAUCCCUAGCUGGUCUGAGAGGAUGACCAGCCACACUGGAACUGAGACACGGUCCAGACUCCUACGGGAGGCAGCAGUGGGGAAUAUUGCACAAUGGGCGCAAGCCUGAUGCAGCCAUGCCGCGUGUGUGAAGAAGGCCUUCGGGUUGUAAAGCACUUUCAGCGGGGAGGAAGGCGGUGAGGUUAAUAACCUCAUCGAUUGACGUUACCCGCAGAAGAAGCACCGGCUAACUCCGUGCCAGCAGCCGCGGUAAUACGGAGGGUGCAAGCGUUAAUCGGAAUUACUGGGCGUAAAGCGCACGCAGGCGGUCUGUCAAGUCGGAUGUGAAAUCCCCGGGCUCAACCUGGGAACUGCAUUCGAAACUGGCAGGCUAGAGUCUUGUAGAGGGGGGUAGAAUUCCAGGUGUAGCGGUGAAAUGCGUAGAGAUCUGGAGGAAUACCGGUGGCGAAGGCGGCCCCCUGGACAAAGACUGACGCUCAGGUGCGAAAGCGUGGGGAGCAAACAGGAUUAGAUACCCUGGUAGUCCACGCCGUAAACGAUGUCGAUUUGGAGGUUGUGCCCUUGAGGCGUGGCUUCCGGAGCUAACGCGUUAAAUCGACCGCCUGGGGAGUACGGCCGCAAGGUUAAAACUCAAAUGAAUUGACGGGGGCCCGCACAAGCGGUGGAGCAUGUGGUUUAAUUCGAUGCAACGCGAAGAACCUUACCUGGUCUUGACAUCCACAGAACUUUCCAGAGAUGGAUUGGUGCCUUCGGGAACUGUGAGACAGGUGCUGCAUGGCUGUCGUCAGCUCGUGUUGUGAAAUGUUGGGUUAAGUCCCGCAACGAGCGCAACCCUUAUCCUUUGUUGCCAGCGGUCCGGCCGGGAACUCAAAGGAGACUGCCAGUGAUAAACUGGAGGAAGGUGGGGAUGACGUCAAGUCAUCAUGGCCCUUACGACCAGGGCUACACACGUGCUACAAUGGCAUAUACAAAGAGAAGCGACCUCGCGAGAGCAAGCGGACCUCAUAAAGUAUGUCGUAGUCCGGAUUGGAGUCUGCAACUCGACUCCAUGAAGUCGGAAUCGCUAGUAAUCGUAGAUCAGAAUGCUACGGUGAAUACGUUCCCGGGCCU